rnacentral:rRNA from 1 species
AAUGAACGCUCGCGGCAUGCCUAAUACAUGCAAGUCGAGCGAACGGACGAUAAGCUUGCUUCUCUGAUGUUGGCGGCGGACGGGUGAGUAACACGUGGAUAACCUACCUAUUAUACUGGGAUAACUUCGGGAAACCGGAGCUAAUACCGCAUCAUAUUUUGAACCGCUUGGUUCAAAAGUGAUAGACGGUCUUGCUGUCACUUAUAGAUGGAUCCGCGUUGCAUUAGCUAGUUGGUAAGGUAACGGCUUACCAAGGCAACGAUGCAUAGCCGACCUGAGAGGAUGAUCGGCCACACUGGAACUGAGACACGGUCCAGACUCCUACGGGAGGCAGCAGUAGGGAAUAUUGCGCAAUGGGCGCAAGCCUGACGGAGCAAUGCCGCGUGAGUGAUGAAGGCCUUCGGAUCGUAAAACUCUGUUAUUAGGGAAGAACAUAUGUGUAAGUAAAUGUGCCCAUCUUGACGGUACCCAAUCAGAAAGCAACGGCUAACUACGUG